GUUUUGAAUGAAUGGAGUUGAUGCUGGCCAGGUCUCUGGUUGUGCUCGCUUCCGACAAUCUUAUCCAUACACCUGUGCACACUGGGAGGGCAUGCAAGUGCCCUUAUUUACUACAUACACCUAAUAUGGAAAUCGCACGUGACUUGCGUCGUAUGGCGCUUAAAACUAAAAACAACUUUUAACAACGGAUCUCUUGGCUCUCGCAUCCAUGAAGAACGCAGCGAAAUGCGAUAAGUAAUGUGAAUUGCAGAAUUCAGUGAAUCAUCGAAUCUUUGAACGCACCUUGCGCUCCUUGGUAUUCCGAGGAGCACGCCUGUUCGAGUGUCGUGAAACUCUCAAGCUAGAUGCUUUAGUGUCAUCUACUUGGUUAUUGGACUCUGCUGUCUCCUUGACUGGAACGGCUGGUCUCAAAUGUAUUAGCUGGUCCUUGCUGCGGGAUUUGGUUCUACUCCCCCUGAUAAUAUAUGACCGCUGAGGACAUCUCUCGGGAUGGCCAAGCCUGCCUUGGGCUGCUUCUAACUCAUCAUCAUGAUAUUUUUCAACUUUGACCUCGAAUCAGGCGGGACUACCCGCUGAACUUAUGCAUAUCAAUAAGCGGAGGAAC
rnacentral:rRNA from 1 species